rnacentral:rRNA from 1 species
GACAGAGGGUGCAAACGUUGCUCGGAAUUACUGGGCGUAAAGCGCGUGUAGGCUGACCGGAAAGUCGGGCGUGAAAGCCCUGGGCUCAACCCAGGAACUGCACUCGAAACUCCCGGUCUAGAGUGGUGGAGAGGGAAGUGGAAUUCCUGGUGUAGAGGUGAAAUUCGUAGAUAUCAGGAGGAACACCAGUGGCGAAGGCGGCUUCCUGGACACCAACUGACGCUGAGACGCGAAAGCCAGGGGAGCGAACGGG